UUUGAUCCUGGCUCAGGAUGAACGCUAGCUACAGGCUUAACACAUGCAAGUCGAGGGAAAACGACAUCGAAAGCUUGCUUUUGAUGGGCGUCGACCGGCGCACGGGUGAGUAACGCGUAUCCAACCUGCCCACCACUUGGGGAUAACCUUGCGAAAGUAAGACUAAUACCCAAUGAUAUCUCUAGAAGACAUCUGAAAGAGAUUAAAGAUUUAUCGGUGAUGGAUGGGGAUGCGUCUGAUUAGCUUGUUGGCGGGGUAACGGCCCACCAAGGCAACGAUCAGUAGGGGUUCUGAGAGGAAGGUCCCCCACAUUGGAACUGAGACACGGUCCAAACUCCUACGGGAGGCAGCAGUGAGGAAUAUUGGUCAAUGGACGAGAGUCUGAACCAGCCAAGUAGCGUGCAGGAUGACGGCCCUAUGGGUUGUAAACUGCUUUUAUAAGGGAAUAAAGUGAGUCUCGUGAGACUUUUUGCAUGUACCUUAUGAAUAAGGACCGGCUAAUUCCGUGCCAGCAGCCGCGGUAAUACGGAAGGUCCGGGCGUUAUCCGGAUUUAUUGGGUUUAAAGGGAGCGUAGGCCGGAGAUUAAGCGUGUUGUGAAAUGUAGACGCUCAACGUCUGCACUGCAGCGCGAACUGGUUUCCUUGAGUACGCACAAAGUGGGCGGAAUUCGUGGUGUAGCGGUGAAAUGCUUAGAUAUCACGAAGAACUCCGAUUGCGAAGGCAGCUCACUGGAGCGCAACUGACGCUGAAGCUCGAAAGUGCGGGUAUCGAACAGGAUUAGAUACCCUGGUAGUCCGCACGGUAAACGAUGGAUGCCCGCUGUUGGUCUGAAUAGGUCAGCGGCCAAGCGAAAGCAUUAAGCAUCCCACCUGGGGAGUACGCCGGCAACGGUGAAACUCAAAUGAAUUGACGGAAGGGCG
rnacentral:rRNA from 1 species